ensembl:snRNA U6 U6 spliceosomal RNA
AUGUUUCCUUCCGCAUCACAUAUACUAAAAUUGAAAUGAUACAGAGAAGAUUAGCAUGGCUCUUAUGCAAGGAUGACCUGCAAAUUCUUGAAGUGUUCUACAUUUUA